UCCGGGAGGGUGGUUCCGGGAGGAGGUCCGGACGGGUCUGGUGCCAGGAGGAGUGGGAGGAGUUCCAGGGCGGGGCCGGCGAGGGAAGCGCGCCCCUGCUGGGCCUGGAGGACAAGUGGCCAGCCGCCGCAGGUUUCCUGCGCCCCCGCCCGGAGAAGACUCCGAGGAACAGUUCACGUUUUACAGCCGUCAACGUGAAGGCAAAACUGAACGACUGUAGCCCGGCGCGGCCCACACCUGUCAUCCCAGACUCAGGAGGCUGAGGCAGGAGGAUCGCAAGUUGGAGGCCAGCCUGGGCAACUUAAGGAGACCCUGUCUCCAAGUAAAAACUGAUAAAGGGUGGGCUGUAGCCGCGUGGUACAGUGCCCAGGGGUUCAAACCCCAGUACUAGAAAUAAAUAAAUAAAUAAAGUCGGCCAUGCUACCAUCUAAUUUUUUAAAAAUAUUUUUAUUUUAUUUUUUAGGUGUAGAUGGACACAACACAACGCCUUUAUUUUUAUGUGGUGCUGAGGAUCGAACCCGGGUCCCGCCUGUGCUGGGCGAGCGCUCUACCCCUGAGCCACAAUCCCAGCCCUAAUAUGGUGGUUCAGCUGCGAUCCUGUGACUUCAUGGUGGAAAGCCAUUUGCACUCAGCGGAAACCACACUUGGAGUUCUGAAUUCUGGCCUCUGCCCAGGCUCGCAGCAGGUAAAGGGACACUCCAGCCCUGCUGUGGGAGGGGCAGCCACGCAGUCAGACAGUCCACACUGCAGCUGAAGGGACCUUUCACGGUUCUUCAGACACAGAGUGUCUUAGCUGUGCACCGCAGUGGGCAGCGCUCAUGCGGCCCUCUGGCCUCCACUGCCAGUACCUGUUGAGUCAAUGACAUGGGAUGUUCAACACCCGAGGACAGACUGCUGGGUCUGCCAACUGUCUGCUAAAGCUGGUGUGAGCCUGGGGGACAGGCCCCACUAGGCCGCCACUUGCGGUAGGUUUGGUGUGCUUUCAGCUGAUAUUUUCACUUUACGAGGGGUUUAUCAGGAAGUAAUCCCAUCAAAGUUUGAGCAUCUGUGUAGCUGAUAAAAAAGAAAAAAGGAAUCUAACCUUUUGAUGAGCCUGGAUUUAUCUUUUCAGAGCAAUCAGCUAAAAAAAAGAUCACAUUCUCAGCUGUUCCCUCAGCCUAGCAAAUCAAGCAACUAGAAACCCGGAGAUGUUGAACCAGACUGUGCUAGUUUACAUCUCCAAAGCAGACUGACUCCAGGGCUUCAGGAAGAUUGCACAGGAAGCACACGUCCACCUCAUUCUGUUCCCUUCCUCUAAUGACUGCAAAUACUAAGCCACAUCCUCAUCUCCUCUCCCCUCCACCUGACGGAUUUCCGCUGGCCCUUCAGGCUGGGGAUGUGCUCCGUGUACAGCAUGUGCCUGGCGUACACCUGUGAGGUCCUGGGUUUGAUUCCCGGCAGCUUGGACAUGGCUGUGUUUCCCUGUGUGCUUCAGGAGUGGUUUCUAAUGACCUGUCCUCUCUCACUGCCUCCUGACCCACUCCAUGGACACUGCGGGUUGCCACAUCUCAGCAGCAGCGCUUCACAGCUGCCCACUCCUUUCAGACACCUUCUUCUGGUUCUCCUUCAAGUCACUGCUCCCUCCCUCCCUCCCUCUCUCUCUCUCAUCUGGCUCCUGCUCCUCUGGAUGGUCCCAAUGGUCUCUCCCUGUCCAUUCUCACCAACCCAGUGGCCUCACAUAGUCCACCCCAUGCUGCUGACUCCCCUGUCCACACCUCCAGUCUGAACCCCUUUCCAGAACCUCAGGUUUGAGUAUCCACAAGUCUCCAACCUAACCUGGCCUUUCCUGUAUCAGGGAGCAGCAGUGGCUUCUUCCAAAGCUGGGUACUUUGCUCUUUCUCCCUCACACUCCACAUCCAGUCCACCCUAACUGCAAAUCCUCUCACUUGACCCUCAAAACACCAUACCCCCAUCCACUGGCCUCAUCCCACUCUUUCCACCACCUCUUGGCUGGUGGAACUGACCUCUGAAGUUGCCUCCUGUGACUGCUUUUGCCCCAGUGCAACCAUUCCCUGCAAAGCAGCCAGUGACCUUCUAAAAGCCAUGUCAUGCCAGUCCCCAUGUUAACCCUGCUUUUUGAACUCCAGACCCUGGCCACCCCCAACCCUGCCACCUCCCCUCCUGCGCUCUGCUCUCCAGACCUCUGGCCUUUUAGCAUGUGGAUCUCCUGCUCCUCCUGCCUCAGGUCCUUACCCAGGCAGGUUUCCCCGAGAUGCUCUUCCUGACUCAAAUGCUUUCCCCUACAGACACCCAGUUGCAGAGAAGCUGCCCUGGCCAUUCCUACAUGCUGGCCGCGGAGCCUCCCCGUAGGCACGUGCAUGUUCCUUGUUAGGUUCCGUGAGGACAUUUGAAUCAACAUCUGCAGACACCCGUCAACCUCAUGUCUGUGGUAUGAUUCCUGUGUGGUGUCACAGCUGUGCAUACCUUCGGGUCACUCGUUCAGCGCUUAGCACACAGUACCCCAAGAAAAGCUCGUGAACACUGCCCUCCCGAGUUUUCACACCAUCACUGUAAUGGCCUCCUGCCCCACGUCAGCGCUUCUAGUGACGCAGCACAAGCUCAGUGUGAGAAUUUUCUGCACAGUGGUGCCCUCAGGACCACUCUGGGCAGCUGGGAGUACCUGUCACCCACAGUUGAAAGGUGAGAUACCUGAGGCACAGGAACUCACCUAACUUCAGGUCACAUGGCCAGGAAGUGACAAGGCUGGGGUUUGAAUUCAGUCUCUACAGUAGCUGCUAAAAUGCAGUGCCAGCAGCAGUGGUCCUGAGCCUGGGGGAGCACUUAACACCCCGCCCAGGUGCAGCCGCCCAGCAGCCUACAUCUGCCCUUGCCGGCCUCCAUCCUGAGCAGAUGUCUUUUCCUUCCCACUGGAACAGGGGAAAGGGGAGCAGUUCUGUGCCAUAAAAAACUUUGCUUUGGAAAAGCAAGAUGAGCAGGGUGCGGAGGGACUGGCGGGGAAACAGGUGCUGUGUCUGCUGCCCCCAGCACUCCAGCAGGACAACUGAGGGAAAUGGCACUCGCUGCUUUCCUGUGGACACCACAGCCCAUGCGUUCUGCCUUUGGAGAAUCUUUGACAUGUUUCUUCCAGAAAAACAGCCACCAACAGCCCAGAAAUGUUUCACGACCAGGUUUCAUUACCACCAUGAGACUGGGGAAGAACCUGUUGAGGUGUUCUGAAAGAUGGCCUCCUCCGCUGCAGAGAAGUGCCCUGGAAGACCAGGUGACCCAAGCCACUGAAACCAGGGACACGGACACCGCCCUAGGCAAACAUGCUCCAUGAAGGGCCAGAGUCAACACGUUAGGCUUUGCAGGCCAACAGGAGAAACUGAAGCGUACUUGACCUCUCCUGGCCUGCGGGAAGAGCGAUGAAGAGUGAGAUUUUGCCCGGCUUGCAGGCUGUUGGCCUCACCCAGAUUCCCAGAUGUAACAGGACUGAGGCCCCCUGGGUGAGAGACGUGGCACAGUCAACUGUUCAAGAGCAGAAGCAGUAGCCAGACUGCUGGCGCUGGGGAUCUCUGAGGGAGCUGCGAGGUGCUCUGACCACAGGUCUCAGGACUGGGCAGCAAGUCGGGAACGUGGGAGGCAGAUGUUCACACCAAAACCAAACUCUGCAGCCUGGUGCCUCAGAGGCUCUGGUGGAGAGAGUACACAGUGAGCAGAACUGCUCUCAGCCCUCAUCUUCAUUCAGGUCCUCUCCCCCAGGGCCAUUCCUGCUAAGACCCAGCCAGAGCAAGGCCAGGCAGAGUCUACGGAAAAGCCAUCUGGGCUAAUGACUUCCAGCUGGAACAGCCUGAGGGCUUUGUGGGAAACACACAGAGCAGGGGAGAAAGGCCAACAGAUAACACACAGACACACCUGGGCACUACUCAAGAGGCCUGGACACACAGCCAAAAAAAAACCACUUGCUGUGAAACACAAGGGCCUGUCUAUCAGUAAACCUGGGGUUAACAGCAAGACCUGCAUAAGAAAACCAGCCAUGAGAGAUGGG